rnacentral:rRNA from 1 species
UACGUAGGGGGCAAGCGUUGUCCGGAUUUAUUGGGCGUAAAGAGCGUGUAGGCGGCCAGGUAGGUCGGUUGUGAAAACUCGAGGCUCAACCUCGAGAUGUCGACCGAAACCAUCUGGCUAGAGUCCGGAAGAGGAGAAUGGAAUUCCCGGUGUAGCGGUGAAAUGCGCAGAUAUCGGGAAGAACACCCGUGGCGAAGGCGGUUCUCUGGGACGGUACUGACGCUGAGACGCGAAAGCGUGGGGAGCGAGCAGG